GACGAACGCUGGCGGCGUGCCUAACACAUGCAAGUCGAACGAGAGCGACCGGUGGUGGCAUUGGCCAAUGGAGAGGGGAACGGGUGAGUAACACGUAGGUAACCUUGCCUUUAGAGUGGGAUAACAUCCCGGAACGGAUUCUAAAACCGCAGCGGUCGCCGAACGGCGGGGUUUGAAGAGGUAAAGAGGCGCGAGCUUGUGCUGCGGGAUGGACCCGCGGUGCAUUGGCUAGGUGGUGAGGUAACGUCUCGCCAAGGCCGUGAUGCAUAGCCGACCGGAGAGGCUGAUCGCCCGCAUGGGGACUGAGACACGGCCCAAGCUACUGCGGGAGGCAGCAGUCGGGAAUGUGCCGCAACGGUCGCGAGUAUGACGGAGCAACGCCACGUGUGUGGCGACGGCUUUCGGAUCGUGAUGCUCUGUUGUGAGUGAAGAACCGGUGCUGCCUUAAAUGUUGCCGCCUUGACGGUAACUAAUAAGAAAGCCCCGGCUAACUACGUG
rnacentral:rRNA from 1 species